CCCGCCUGGGAGUACGGCCGAAGGUUGAAACUKAAAGGAAUURACGGGGGCCCGCACAANCGGUGGAGCAUGUGGUUUAUUCGACGCUACGCGAAGAACCUUACCUGGGUUUGACAUGUUAGUGGUAAGAACCCGAAAGGUGAUWACUUGGGGGUAACUCCUUGAGCUAACACAGGUGCUGCAUGGCUGUCGUCAGCCGUGCCGUGAGGUGUUGGGUUAAGUCCCGCAACGAGCGCAACCCCUGUCCUCUGUUGGUCGAAAGGAUCUCUCUGAGGAAACUGCCGGCGAUGAGCCGGAGGAAGGUGGGGAUGACGUAAGUCAUCAUGGCCCUUACGUCCAGGGCGACACACGUGCUACAAUGGCCCCUACAGAGGCUGCAAAACCGCGAGGUGGAGCCAAUCCCUKAAAGAGGUCUCAGUUGGGAUCGGAGUCUCAACUCGACUCCGUGAACGCGGAAUCGCUAGUAAUCGUGGAUCAGCCACGCCACGGUGAUACGUUCCCGGGCCUUGUACACACCGCCCGUCACACCACGAAAGCUUGUUGUACCCGAACCGGUGAGCUAACCCGCAAGGGAAGCAGCUGUCUAAGGUAUGGCCAGUGAUUGGGGUG
rnacentral:rRNA from 1 species